CCUACGGGAGGCAGCAGUGAGGAAUAUUGGUCAAUGGGCGAGAGCCUGAACCAGCCAAGUAGCGUGAAGGAUGACUGCCUUAUGGGUUGUAAACUUCUUUUAUAAAGGAAUAAAGUCGGGUAUGGAUACCCGUUUGCAUGUACUUUAUGAAUAAGGAUCGGCUAACUCCGUGCCAGCAGCCGCGGUAAUACGGAGGAUGCGAGCGUUAUCCGGAUUUAUUGGGUUUAAAGGGAGCGCAGACGGGUCGUUAAGUCAGCUGUGAAAGUUUGGGGCUCAACCUUAAAAUUGCAGUUGAUACUGGCGUCCUUGAGUGCGGUUGAGGUGUGCGGAAUUCGUGGUGUAGCGGUGAAAUGCUUAGAUAUCACGAAGAACUCCGAUUGCGAAGGCAGCUCACUAGACUGUCACUGACACUGAUGCUCGAAAG
rnacentral:rRNA from 1 species